rnacentral:rRNA from 1 species
UACGUAGGGGGCAAGCGUUGUCCGGAUUUAUUGGGCGUAAAGAGCGUGUGGGCGGCUGGGUAGGUCCGUUGUGAAAACUCGAGGCUCAACCUCGAGACGCCGAUGGAAACCCCCCGGCUAGAGUCCGGAAGAGGAGAGUGGAAUUCCUGGUGUAGCGGUGAAAUGCGCAGAUAUCAGGAAGAACACCCGUGGCGAAGGCGGCUCUCUAGUACGGUACUGACGCUGAGACGCGAAAGCGUGGGGAGCGAACAGG